rnacentral:rRNA from 1 species
UACGUAGGGGGCAAGCGUUGUCCGGAAUCAUUGGGCGUAAAGAGCGUGUAGGCGGCUUGGUAAGUCCGCUGUGAAAGCCCAGGGCUCAACCCUGGAAAGCCGGUGGAAACUGUCAAGCUUGAGUCCGGAAGAGGCGAGUGGAAUUCCUGGUGUAGCGGUGAAAUGCGCAGAUAUCAGGAGGAACACCAAUGGCGAAGGCAGCUCGCUGGGACGGUACUGACGCUGAGACGCGAAAGCGUGGGGAGCAAACAGG